CAACCCUUAGUUAGAAGAUGAGGGUAAGAGUCACUGAAGGUAAAUAACUUUCAAGGGCUUCAGAGGUCAUUUAGUCCGGCCAAUAACUGGGAGAGGACCAAAGUGAUUUCCAGCAGGAGUGAUGCAAAAGCUGAAAGGCUUCAUACUACAGGAAGAGGAUAUGGUUAAAGGCACCAGGAUGUCUACAAAACAGAUUUAUUUCCAUCUCAGCAGGAGGCAGCCAUGUUUCUCUAAGUGUUGAUUAAACUGUUCCUCCAUGGUG
rnacentral:lncRNA from 1 species